ensembl:lncRNA FRG1-DT FRG1 divergent transcript
UAACAAAGGAGACACACAGGGGCUCCUCACGUUGGCUUUCCAGGGUUUUGAUGAAAAUCUGUUUCCUCGUCUCAUACAAUGUGGCUGUACAGGAAGCAUGGUGAUGGCAUCUGCAUGGCGCCUGUGGAGGCCCCAGGGAGCUUUUACUCAUGAUGGAAGGCACAGAGGGAGUAGGCACAUCACAUGGUCCGAGGAGGAGCAAGAGAAAAUGGGAGUGGGGAUACUGCAUAGUGGAUGGAUUAGUCUGUGGUUCCUGGGAUCUUCUGUGUAUUCUGUUGAAGCUCAAUAAUCACAUUACUGCGGACCUCCAAAAUUUUACAAAGGACUGCAUAGCUUUGGAUUCACCUUGAAAACAUCCUCUCUGAACAUCAGAAGUCCACUUGGUCCCCGAACAGUGUAUUAACUUCUAACAUUUCUGACUUCCAGUCAUGGAGAUUUCAAAACCAAUUGCAUAUAGCAGCGAAGCUUUUCACUUUUAAUGGAACAUUUAGGAGAAGGGCGGCUUUUCCUAUUUUCU